rfam:Kurthia sp. 11kri321, complete genome.
GGAGGUAUACCCAAGUCUGGCUGAAGGGAUCGGUCUUGAAAACCGACAGGCGGGUCAAACCGCGCGGGGGUUCGAAUCCCUCUACCUCCU